UGAGGAAUUUUGGACAAUGGGGGAAACCCUGAUCCAGCGACGCCGCGUGAAGGAUGAAGGUCUUCGGAUUGUAAACUUCUUUUAUUCGGGAAUAACGACCCUAUGUAAACAUAGGGAGUGAAUGUACCGGAUGAAUAAGCCACGGCUAACUUCGUGCCAGCAGCCGCGGUAAUACGAAGGUGGCAAGCGUUACUCGGAAUUACUAGGCGUAAAGGGCAGGUAGGUGGUUUGAUAAGUCUGUUGUGAAAGCUCCUGGCUCAACUGGGAGAGGUCAACAGAAACUAUCAGACUUGAGUAUGGAAGAGGGUACUGGAAUUCCCGGUGUAGCGGUGAAAUGCGCAGAGAUCGGGAGGAACACCUAUGGCGAAAGCAAGUACCUGGACCAUUACUGACACUCAGCUGCGAAAGCUAGGGGAGCAAACAG
rnacentral:rRNA from 1 species